ACGGGAGGCAGCAGUGGGGAAUAUUGCACAAUGGGGGAAACCCUGAUGCAGCGACGCCGCGUGGAGGAAGAAGGUUUUCGGAUUGUAAACUCCUGUCUUCGGGGACGAUAAUGACGGUACCCGAGGAGGAAGCCACGGCUAACUACGUGCCAGCAGCCGCGGUAAAACGUAGGUGGCAAGCGUUGUCCGGAAUUACUGGGUGUAAAGGGAGCGCAGGCGGGUCGGCAAGUUGGAGGUGAAAGCUGUGGGCUCAACUCACAAACUGCCUUCAAAACUGCCGGUCUUGAGUGGUGUAGAGGUAGGCGGAAUUCCCGGUGUAGCGGUGGAAUGCGUAGAUAUCGGGAGGAACACCAGUGGCGAAGGCGGCCUACUGGGCACUAACUGACGCUGAGGCUCGAAAGCAUGGGUAGCAAACAGGAUUAGAUACCCUGGUA
rnacentral:rRNA from 1 species